rnacentral:rRNA from 1 species
CACGUAGGGGGCAAGCGUUGUCCGGAUUUAUUGGGCGUAAAGAGCUCGUAGGCGGUUCGGUAAGUUGGGUGUGAAACCUCCAGGCUCAACCUGGAGACGCCACCCGAUACUGCUGUGACUAGAGUCCGGUAGGGGAGCGUGGAAUUCCUGGUGUAGCGGUGAAAUGCGCAGAUAUCAGGAGGAACACCAGCGGCGAAGGCGGCGCUCUGGGCCGGUACUGACGCUGAGACGCGAAAGCGUGGGGAGCAAACAGG